rnacentral:rRNA from 1 species
GUCGAACGAGAAGCCAGACUUCGGUUUGGUGGAAAGUGGCGCACGGGUGAGUAGCGCGUGGGAAUCUACCCAGCAGUGCGGGAUAACUCCGGGAAACCGGUGCUAAUACCGCAUACGCCCUUCGGGGGAAAGAUUUAUCGCUGUUGGAUGAGCCCGCGUCGGAUUAGCUUGUUGGUGAGGUAAAGGCUCACCAAGGCGACGAUCCGUAGCUGGUCUGAGAGGAUGAUCAGCCACACUGGGACUGAGACACGGCCCAGACUCCUACGGGAGGCAGCAGUGGGGAAUAUUGGACAAUGGGCGCAAGCCUGAUCCAGCCAUGCCGCGUGAGUGAAGAAGGCCUUAGGGUUGUAAAGCUCUUUCAGUGGGGAAGAUAAUGACGGUACCCACAGAAGAAGCCCCGGCUAACUCCGUGCCAGCAGCCGCGGUAAUACGGAGGGGGCUAGCGUUGUUCGGAAUUACUGGGCGUAAAGCGCGCGUAGGCGGUUGUUCAAGUUGGGCGUGAAAGCCCGGGGCUUAACCCCGGAAAUGCGUUCAAAACUGGACAGCUAGAGUCCGGAAGAGGAGAGUGGAAUUCCCAGUGUAGAGGUGAAAUUCGUAGAU